CCUACGGGGGGCAGCAGUGGGGAAUAUUGCACAAUGGGGGAAACCCUGAUGCAGCGACGCCGCGUGAGUGAAGAAGUAUUUCGGUAUGUACAGCUCUGUCAGCAGGGAAGAAAAUGACGGUACCUGACCAAGAAGCCCCGGCUAACUACGUGCCAGCAGCCGCGGUAAUACGUAGGGGGCAAGCGUUAUCCGGAUUUACUGGGUGUAAAGGGAGCGUAGACGGCAGGGCAAGUCUGGAGUGAAAGGCGGGGGCGCAACCCCCGGACUGCUCUGGAAACUGCCAGGCUAGAGUGCAGGAGAGGUAAGUGGAAUGCCUAGUGUAGCGGUGAAAUGCGUAGAUAUUAGGAGGAACACCAGUGGCGAAGGCGGCUUACUGGACUGUAACUGACGUUGAGGCUCGAAAGCGUGGGGAGCAAACAGGAUUAGAUACCCUUGUAGUC
rnacentral:rRNA from 1 species